CCUUCGGCGGCGCGGCGCUCCUUUAGUUCGGCGAUAACUGCGAAAAGCGCUUUCCCGCCAAGCGCCAGCUCCAGCUCGUGGGCGCGCAGCCCUCCUCGGUCGUUGUGCUCGUGCGUGUCCGUAUCCUGCGAAACGUUGCUACAGUUAAAUUUUUAGAAUCAAAUAUUGCUUUUCCAAACUUAAAGAGAUAUUACACUUUUUCUACCUUCCCCCUUUAAAUUAUUUUUCUACUCAAAUUCUUGUUUAACCAGUGGAAGUCAAAAUUGAUCGACUACUUGAUUUGUUAUCAGAGGUUCGGGUCUCGCCGAUGGCGGCGGAGUCGCAGCGGGAACGUGAGCCGCCACACACCUACCACCGCCCUCUAGCGGGCACCUCCGGCAUCCUGCUCGUCCCGACCUCGGCCGGUGCCCCACGCCGACGUCACUCCUGGAUC